UACGGGGGGAGCAAGCGUUGUCCGGAAUCAUUGGGCGUAAAGCGCGCGUAGGCGGCCCGGUAAGUCCGUUGUAAAAGUCGAAGGCUCAACCUUCGAAAGCCGAUGGAUACUGCCGGGCUAGAGUACGGAAGAGGCGAGUAGAAUUCCUGGUGUAGCGGUGGAAUGCGCAGAUAUCAGGAGGAAUACCCAUAGCGAAGGCAGCUCGCUGGGACGUUACUGACGCUGAGGCGCGAAAGCGUGGGGAGCGAACAGG
rnacentral:rRNA from 1 species